AGGACGAACGCUGGCGGCGUGCUUAACACAUGCAAGUCGAGCGGAAAGGCCCUUCGGGGUACUCGAGCGGCGAACGGGUGAGUAACACGUGGGCAACCUGCCCCUAGCUCUGGGAUAACUCCGGGAAACCGGUGCUAAUACCGGAUACGACCUUCUCCGGCAUCUGAGAAGGUGGAAAGUUUUUCGGCUAGGGAUGGGCCCGCGGCCUAUCAGCUUGUUGGUGAGGUAACGGCCCACCAAGGCGACGACGGGUAGCCGG
rnacentral:rRNA from 1 species